rnacentral:rRNA from 1 species
CCUACGGGAGGCAGCAGUGGGGAAUAUUGGACAAUGGGCGCAAGCCUGAUCCAGCCAUGCCGCGUGAGUGAUGACGGCCUUAGGGUUGUAAAGCUCUUUUCUCCGGGACGAUAAUGACGGUACCGGAGGAAUAAGCCCCGGCUAACUUCGUGCCAGCAGCCGCGGUAAUACGAAGGGGGCUAGCGUUGCUCGGAAUCACUGGGCGUAAAGGGCGCGUAGGCGGCGUUUAAGUCGGGGGUGAAAGCCUGUGGCUCAACCACAGAAUGGCCUUCGAUACUGGGACGCUUGAGUCUGGUAGAGGUUGGUGGAACUGCGAGUGUAGAGGUGAAAUUCGUAGAUAUUCGCAAGAACACCGGUGGCGAAGGCGGCCAACUGGACCAGUACUGACGCUGAGGCGCGAAAGCGUGGGGAGCAAACAGGAUUAGAUACCCUGGUAGUCCACGCCGUAAACGAUGAUGNUAGCUGUUGGGUGCAUGCACCGCAGUAGCGCAGCUACGACAUAAGUACACUCCGUCCGUCGGGUAGGUACGGUCGCGAGAGUUAAACGUACGAAAGGUAAGUAGUUACGCGUGAGACGUGCCGACGGCGACGACGAGGGAGGAGG